ensembl:lncRNA
GAGCUUUGCAAAGACCUCAAGGCGUUCUCCAUCCUCUUUGGCUGCAUGUUUGACAGAUGCUUCUGACCCAUGGACCAAACCUGGUUCUGAGGCAUCCCAUAAUCCAAGGGUUUGUUUGGUUUUUUUUUAAAGUGCUGCAGCAGGAGGCAAUAUUGACUUUUGCAAAAUGUCCUCUGUAUUAAUUUGCAUUGAGUUUAAAAGUAAACCUGGAAGGCUGGUUAAUCUCUCAGGCCCAUUUUAAUUUGAGCUCUUGAAGUUUAGAGGUCAGGUCGGUGUGGUCUGCCUGCAUCACAUCUGGGCAGAGACUGUGCUGGCAGAAAAAGGAUAUGGGGAAAAUGUGCAUGUGGGGAGUUUCUGCCUGAUAAAGGGGAGGGGAGCAGCUGGCUGGAUGUUAAGACUAAUGGUAAGAUCAGGGGAAGAGAUUCCUAUCACUUCUCAGAUUGGUGUGACCAAAGCCAAGCUGGAGUGCUGGCUUUGGAGCAGAAGGACAAGGGUAAGCUCACCUCAGAGGGACUAACUGUGCUGAGGAGUGGAGGGAGUGCUGCCAUGGGCAGGGGAUGCAGGGGAUCUCACAGGGCAAAGAGAAAUAAGAAGGGAGCUCUGCAGGCAGAGCAUGUGAGACCAGCUCUGGGCUACUGCCUUCUGGAGUGGCUUGACAGAGGGGCUGUGUUUGGGCAUGUGGGUUUGCUGCUGUACAGCCCCUGAAAUCACAUCCCACAUCCCGAGCAGCUGAGGUGGAGGUUGCCCUGUGCCCUGGUCCUUGUUGCUCAGCACAGGUUUGGUUGCAUGGGGACAUGGACAUGUCAUGUCAUGCCAGAACAGCGUGCAUCGCCCUCCCAGCCGAGCUCCUGCAGGGCCUGGGGUGGUAGCAGGUGCCUCGCAGAAAAGCCAGAUUGGAGCUACAGAUUUGUGUAUGGGCCCUGGAAUGAAGGCUGUGGGCUGUCUUGAACCCCAGACUGGGGAAUUCAGAUUUUAUUUGCAACAUGCCAGGGAAUUUUGUUUUCCAGUAACGACUUGUGCAGUAAUUGUGAACUUCCUCUUACAGCAGAGAUCUAACUCCCCACUUCCCUGGAAGGGAGGCCUGUACACUGCUGCUCCUGUUUUCCUUUGUCUCCUCUCAGCAUGCUUGGACCCCAGCCUUGCCCUUGCCCUUCUGCAGCCCAGGUUCAAAGCCAAGCUCACACCUCUGGCCCUGGCAGGAGGGCAGUGCUGCCCUGUCACCUGCUGCCAGCCCAGCCCCAGCCUGCCAGUGUCAGCUGCAAUGAGGAUGGGAGAGUUUACUCAGCCUGCUCCUGCCAGACCCCAGGGUGAGUCACGCCGUGCUGUUGCAAUACUCACCUGGCCACGACCUCAGCGGAGCCCUGUCCCUGCAUGCAGGAGCUCUUUGGGGCUCAGUGAUUCAGCUGCAUCAGAGGACUUGUGCCUUUCCCCUGUGCCCAGCUGUGUGUAUCCGAGGAAGCAUUUCUGCCUGCUGGGGAGUGAAUCACCCAGGAGUGGCUCACCCAGCCCUGCCUGCUGCGAGCAGGAAGGGGAAUGGAAGAGAGGAGGAGUGUGGGCAGCCUUCCUCCUGCUCUUGGGACUGGGGCUGCUUUGCAAUGCCACGCACGGGUUCUGCAGAGGGACAAGAAUCAAGUGGGGAUGGAGGCCUUGGCUGCUCCUGCACAGCCCUGCAAGGCACUCUGUGGCUGUCACCCUGAGCAGAGAGCAGCCAGCCUGCCCUGUGCAUGGGCUGCAGCUUGUCCCAAGCCCUGUGGCUCCUUCUCUGCUGGUGCUUCAGGCAAGCUGGGACACGGCCACCGCACUGGGGACAUGGCUGUGUCACACACUGAGCUGGGCUGAUCCCUGCCAGUUCCCACAGGAGCUGCAGGCUGGGGAUUUUCCAGAUGGGGAAACUGGUGCAGGGCCAUCCAGCUGUCUCCCACAGGCAGUGUGGGGCAUUCUGUGUGGAUGGAGCAAACUCUCCUUGUGUUCUUUCUGCUGUGCUAUUUCAUUUGCUGUAGACUGCAUUUGCUGUUCACUGGCUCAGAGCAGUUAAGAGCAUCUAAUUUAAGAACUACUACAAUAAAAACAACUUGUGGCAACGACACCAGUUUUAAAAGAAAGCCAGUUGGUGAGUCUUCCUCUUUGACCUGUCUGUUUUGGUAGCAUGAUGAGCAUUAGUCACUUGAAGCAAAAUCCUCUUUGCACUACCAGGUCCUGGGAGAACGGAGUUAGGAGUUGUAGGUAAGGCUGCUUUGGGCUGCCCAAAAAGAUAAUGUGGUGGGUAAGCCUGGUGAGCAUCUGUUUAGAUGGGAUUUACAAAAAUAUGUCCCUAACAGGUCAGAGCAGCCCUAUGGCCAGUCACUGAAAGGCCUGCUGCACUCAGAAAGGGCAGGACCAGGUGUUGGGGACCACAGACAUCCCACCUGGGGUUCCCCUACGUGGAGCUGCUCUGUGCUUGGCUGUGACUCUAACUUGAGUUUUCUGGUGGGAAUAUUGGCCAGGAUUAUUGGGCCUUGCUGCUGGCUCCAUUCAGUGAUCUGAACAGCAGCAAAGCUGUGUCUGAUCUGGAAACAGGUCCCUGAAGGACAGCAUGGUUGCACUUACCUCAUCCUGCAUCACAUCAGACUGCUUGUAGCCUCCAUUCUCGGGCUGUAUUAUGGCUUAUCCCACCCAUCCAUGCCUCCCUUAUUUGAUACCAAGCAAUGGGGUUGUUCUCUCCUGGUCCUGGGCAGAAGGGAACCUCACCCUUGUAGUGUCACCAUCCUUCGAGCACCUUGUUGGUGCUGUUGCUGCUGGCAGACACAUGCACGUGCCUGGUGCUGAGGCACCCUGGGACAAGGGCUGUGAGGUGCUGAGGUAAUUCUCACCAUCAAUAACUGCAGGGGAUGAAUCUCAGAUCACAUCUCUGGGGCAAGGCGAGGGACCUGCAGCUCAUGUAUUCCUGGCACGGGAAUCAAUAAUAAAAUUACAGCCCCUGAAAGUUCAGUGAUAAGCCUGACAGCGAUAGGUGUGGGGAGGGAAUUUCCUACAAACUGCUGACUAUAAACAUGGCUAAUAAUAUUAUUCUGAGAGGAUCUGAUUCAUGAUUUAUUAGACUUGUGUGGAACAGGCCCAUA